GAUCCUGGCUCAGAUUGAACGCUGGCGGAAUGCUUUACACAUGCAAGUCGAACGGUAGAGGGGGCAACCCCUCGAGAGUGGCGAACGGGUGAGUAAUAUAUCGGAACGUGCCCAGUCGUGGGGGAUAACGCAGCGAAAGCUGUGCUAAUACCGCAUACGAUCCAAGGAUGAAAGCGGGGGACUCGCAAGAGCCUCGCGCGAUUGGAGCGGCCGAUAUCAGAUUAGGUAGUUGGUGGGGUAAAGGCUCACCAAGCCAACGAUCUGUAGCUGGUCUGAGAGGACGACCAGCCACACUGGAACUGAGACACGGUCCAGACUCCUACGGGAGGCAGCAGUGGGGAAUUUUGGACAAUGGGCGCAAGUCUGAUCCAGCCAUUCCGCGUGCAGGAUGAAGGCCCUCGGGUUGUAAACUGCUUUUGUACGGAACGAAAAGGUUUCCAUUAAUACUGGGAGCUCAUGACGGUACCGUAAGAAUAAGCACCGGCUAACUACGUG
rnacentral:rRNA from 1 species